ensembl:lncRNA anion exchange protein 3-like
CAGACGACCCCGAAUAUUUUUGCAUUAGGUGAAGGGUCAGGGAAGUACUCAGAUCCAGACGCAUUGGUUGCCGCUUAAAUUAGGUUUAAAGGUUAAUAAUAAUUAUGAAUUUGUGGCUGUGGUAACUAGUGAAGAUCAGACUCAGAGACUUAUUGCAAAGAAAGAACUAAACCCCGUGGGCGUGGCGUAGCGUUUAGCUGGAGCAAGGAGUCUGUGUAGCCAGGCAACAUCUGGAUGCUUGAGUGAGGCUGCUUCACUGCAUCACGUGGUUGAAGCAUCACGCAGCUGGCUGUAUCGCAGCGCGUUUCCUCUAUGAAGCAUCAUCGCGACUGCUGCGCAAUUUGACUGCAAGCCUUUGCUACCGAUUCCAUCUAGACAGCUCUCCAAACGCACAGGUUAUGCCACUCCACAGGCUUCCUGAAACCCCUACUGUGAAAGAGAAGGGCUGAUCCCCAAGCUCUAGCUACUCUCCUCCCACCUCCAUCCACCCCCCUGUCCCUCCCUAACCACACAUAGCCCCCCACUCCGCCGGACCCCGGACCCCAUGGCUGCAGGAGGCCAUGCCCCUGAGAAGGAUGUGUUGAUCAACCUGCAUCAGGAGGAGGAGGAUGAGGAAGGUUCCACAGAGGAGCAGGAAGAGGAGGACUGGGAGAAGGCAUUAUCAGUGGAGAGGUUCGGGGACAUCAUCACUGAGUCCGUGUUCAGCAGCGGAGAAAAAAUGGGCCGCAACUACAACGAAAAGGAUUUCGAGUAUCAUCGGCACACCUUUCACCACACCCACCACCCCCUGUCCACCCACCUGCCACCGCCCCAGCGCCUACGCAAGCGGGUGCUCAGCACAGACAGCGACCGCCGGCGCAAGAAGAAACGAAAGAAAAAAAAGACCUCCAUGCCGCCCUCGGAGGUCACGCCCACCAUCCAUGAGGUAGAUGAGGAGGAGGAGGCGGAGUCUGAGACAGAGGAGCGGGACCAAGUGGCCACGCCCACUGAGCAGCCUGACAACCAACCACAGUUUAGCUUGGGGAGUGAGGAGGACUUGGAACCGGCUCUCCCUUUCACUUCCUUCCACAUGGAGAGCGAACAACAACAUAUGCCGCCAGAGAAAGCCACACUGGCCACGGCAGAGGAGGUUGAACCCCACUGUCCUCCCCUCCCCAGGUGCCCCCCCUCUGUGGACCCCCCUAGCGUGACCCCCUGUGGCUGGUUCAGAAGGAAUCCCCUCCACCCUGCACCGAGGACCAGUUACGACCUGCGGGAGCGCAUCUGCAUCGGCAGUAUGACGACCAUGGAAACAGCUGUGUACCAGAAGGUGCCCACUGACGACGCUGAGGCUGAGAUGCUGGCUAGCGCUGAUCUGGACGACAUGAAAAGUCACCGAUUCGAGGACAACCCUGGAGUGAGGCGUCACCUGGUGAAGAAGUCAUCUCGAUGCCAGCUCCUCCAGACCACCAACAGCUCUUCGCAACUGUCCAGCGUGAAGAAGAAGAGGACGGCUGACAAGAAGACCCAUGAGGUGUUUGUGGAACUCAAUGAGCUGAUAGUGGAUAAGAACCAGGAAAUGCGCUGGAAGGAGACGGCCCGUUGGAUCAAGUUUGAGGAGGACGUGGAGGAGGAGACAGACCGCUGGGGAAAACCCCACGUGGCUUCGCUUUCCUUCCGUAGCCUGCUGGAGCUCCGCAGGACCAUCACACAUGGUGCCGUCCUUUUGGACCUGGAGCAGACCACCUUGCCUGGUAUUGCUCACCUGGUGGUGGAGACCAUGAUCAUCUCAGACCAGAUCAGAGCGGAGGACCGUGCCAACGUGCUCCGCGCCCUGCUGCUCAAACACCACCACCCCAACGACGAAAAGGAGGGCCUCUUCCAUCGCAACCACUCUAGUAACAGCCUUCAAGGCAGCUUCUACCACAACCACGUUCCCAACACUGCGCUGCCCCUUGUGGCCGAUGACCAUGCAGUAGUCCACCACCACCACCUUGACAACAAAGCACCAGACCAUGACAAAGAGGUAAAUCACGUCACCCCCCCCCUGCCGACGGCUCACGAUCAUCAGAUUACCAAACACACAAAACUCUUAGCCAAGAUUCCCAAGGACGCCGAAGCAACCGUGGUCUUAGUGGGGUGUGUGGAGUUCUUGGAGCAGCCGGCCAUGGCCUUCAUCAGGCUGAGUGAGGCAGUGCUGCUGGAGUCGGUCCUGGAGGUGCCGGUGCCGGUCCGUUUCCUCUUUGCCCUGCUCGGCCCCGCUCAGUCCAACAUGGACUAUCACGAGAUCGGACGCUCCUUCUCCACCCUGAUGUCUGACAAGAACUUCCACGAGGUGGCUUACUUCGCGGACGACCGGCAGGACCUGCUGAACGGCAUCAAUGAGUUCCUGGACUGCAGCAUCGUUAUCCCCCCGUCGGACGUGGAGGGCAAGGACCUGCUAAAGACGGUAGCCUCCUUCCAGAAGCAGAUGCUGCGCAAGAGGAAGGAGAGAGAGAACAUUAAGAAGGGCCUGACCCAUGCCACCCCCGGGACAGACCAGGAGACCAAAGAGGUGAGCCAGGAUGAGCAGGAAGAGGAGGACCAGGAGGUGGACCCCAUGAAGCGGUCGGGCAUCCCCUUCGGAGGCCUCAUCCAUGACAUCAGGCGACGCUACCCACGCUACGCCAGUGACAUCAAGGACGCCUUGGACUCACAGUGCAUUGCAGCCGUCAUCUUCAUCUACUUCGCAGCCCUCUCGCCCACCAUCACCUUCGGAGGACUGCUGGGAGAGAAAACAGAGGGCAUGAUGGGAGUGUCUGAGCUUAUCAUCUCCACGGCGACCCUGGGGGUGCUGUUCUCGCUGUUGGCCGGACAGCCCCUGCUCAUCAUCGGAUUCUCAGGACCGCUGCUGGUGUUUGAGGAGGCCUUCUACAAGUUCUGCCAGGCCCAGGGCUUUGAGUACCUGACUGGCCGGGUGUGGAUCGGCUUCUGGCUCGUCUUCAUAGUGCUGUUGAUAGUAGCGGCUGAGGGCAGCUUCUUGGUCAAAUACAUCUCACCCUUCACCCAGGAGAUCUUCGCCUUCCUCAUCUCGCUCAUCUUCAUCUAUGAGACCUUCUCGAAGCUCAUCAAGGUAUUCCAGGAGCAUCCUUUGAUGAGAAGCUACCCGCCUGCUCUCAGCCUGCCCGGUAUGGACUUCAUCAACCCCACAGACCCCGGGGGCCCGGUCCUAAACCAACCCAACACAGCCUUGCUGUCUCUCGUCCUUAUGCUUGGCACCUUCUUUGUGGCCUUCUUCCUCAGGAAAUUGCGCAAUAGUCGCUUCCUGGGCGGGAAGGCCAGAAGAAUCAUCGGAGACUUUGGCAUCCCCAUCUCCAUCCUCUUCUCUGUACUGUUGAGUUACUCCAUCCCCGACACUUACACCCAGAAGCUAAAUGUACCAUCUGGUUUCUCGGUCACGUCUCCUGACAAGCGGGGCUGGUUGAUCAGUCCAUUCGGUGACAAGAAGCCCUUUCCCUUGUGGAUGAUGGGGGCUUCGGUGGUGCCCGCCCUCCUUGUCUUCAUCCUCAUCUUCAUGGAGACACAGAUCACCUCACUAAUCGUCAGCAAGAAGGAGCGUCGCCUGGUCAAGGGAUCGGGCUUCCACCUGGACCUGCUGCUCAUUGUCACACUGGGCGCCAUGUGCCCUCUGUUAGGCCUGCCCUGGCUCACAGCCGCCACUGUGCGCUCUGUCACGCAUGUCAACGCCCUUACUGUCAUGAGCAAGGCCACGGCACCUGGCGAGAAGCCUAUGAUCCAGGAGGUGAAGGAGCAGCGGGUGACUGGCCUGGUAGUUGCCGUGCUCGUGGGUAUGUCUAUCGUGAUGACGGACGUGCUCCGUAACAUCCCAUUGGCCGUGCUGUUCGGGAUCUUCCUCUACAUGGGCGUCACGUCGAUCACCGGCAUCCAGCUCUACGAGCGCAUCACACUCAUGUUCACGCCCGCCAAGCACCACCCCGACCACAUAUACGUGACCAAGGUGAAGACAUGGCGUAUGAAUAUGUUCACCAUCAUCCAGCUGGCCUGCAUCGUGCUACUGUGGGUGGUCAAGUCGACCGUGGCCUCACUCGCCUUCCCCUUCAUCCUCAUCCUGACCGUGCCGCUCCGCCGCCUCAUCCUCUCCCGGAUCUUUGAGGAGCGUGAGCUUCAGGCGCUCGACGGGGAAAAUGAGGACUCCCCCAACUUUGACGAGGAUGGUCGGGACGAGUAUAAUGAGAUUCACAUGCUUGUGUAG